rnacentral:rRNA from 1 species
AUUGAACGCUGGCGGCAUGCCUUACACAUGCAAGUCGAACGGCAGCACGGAGCUUGCUCUGGUGGCGAGUGGCGAACGGGUGAGUAAUAUAUCGGAACGUACCCUAGAGUGGGGGAUAACGUAGCGAAAGUUACGCUAAUACCGCAUACGAUCUAAGGAUGAAAGUGGGGGAUCGCAAGACCUCAUGCUCGUGGAGCGGCCGAUAUCUGAUUAGCUAGUUGGUAGGGUAAAAGCCUACCAAGGCAUCGAUCAGUAGCUGGUCUGAGAGGACGACCAGCCACACUGGAACUGAGACACGGUCCAGACUCCUACGGGAGGCAGCAGUGGGGAAUUUUGGACAAUGGGCGAAAGCCUGAUCCAGCAAUGCCGCGUGAGUGAAGAAGGCCUUCGGGUUGUAAAGCUCUUUUGUCAGGGAGGAAACGGUGAGAGCUAAUAUCUCUUGCUAAUGACGGUACCUGAAGAAUAAGCACCGGCUAACUACGUGCCAGCAGCCGCGGUAAUACGUAGGGUGCAAGCGUUAAUCGGAAUUACUGGGCGUAAAGCGUGCGCAGGCGGUUUUGUAAGUCUGAUGUGAAAUCCCCGGGCUCAACCUGGGAAUUGCAUUGGAGACUGCAAGGCUAGAAUCUGGCAGAGGGGGGUAGAAUUCCACGUGUAGCAGUGAAAUGCGUAGAUAUGUGGAGGAACACCGAUGGCGAAGGCAGCCCCCUGGGUCAAGAUUGACGCUCAUGCACGAAAGCGUGGGGAGCAAACAGGAUUAGAUACCCUGGUAGUCCACGCCCUAAACGAUGUCUACUAGUUGUCGGGUCUUAAUUGACUUGGUAACGCAGCUAACGCGUGAAGUAGACCGCCUGGGGAGUACGGUCGCAAGAUUAAAACUCAAAGGAAUUGACGGGGACCCGCACAAGCGGUGGAUGAUGUGGAUUAAUUCGAUGCAACGCGAAAAACCUUACCUACCCUUGACAUGGCUGGAAUCCCGGAGAGAUUUGGGAGUGCUCGAAAGAGAACCAGUACACAGGUGCUGCAUGGCUGUCGUCAGCUCGUGUCGUGAGAUGUUGGGUUAAGUCCCGCAACGAGCGCAACCCUUGUCAUUAGUUGCUACGAAAGGGCACUCUAAUGAGACUGCCGGUGACAAACCGGAGGAAGGUGGGGAUGACGUCAAGUCCUCAUGGCCCUUAUGGGUAGGGCUUCACACGUCAUACAAUGGUACAUACAGAGCGCCGCCAACCCGCGAGGGGGAGCUAAUCGCAGAAAGUGUAUCGUAGUCCGGAUUGUAGUCUGCAACUCGACUGCAUGAAGUUGGAAUCGCUAGUAAUCGCGGAUCAGCAUGUCGCGGUGAAUACGUUCCCGGGUCU